rnacentral:rRNA from 1 species
AACGAACGCUGGCGGCAGGCCUAACACAUGCAAGUCGAGCGGACCCUUCGGGGUUAGCGGCGGACGGGUGAGUAACGCGUGGGAAUAUGCCCUUCUCUACGGAAUAGUCCUGGGAAACUGGGGGUAAUACCGUAUACGCCCUUUGGGGGAAAGAUUUAUCGGGGAAGGAUUAGCCCGCGUUGGAUUAGGUAGUUGGUGGGGUAAUGGCCUACCAAGCCGACGAUCCAUAGCUGGUUUGAGAGGAUGAUCAGCCACACUGGGACUGAGACACGGCCCAGACUCCUACGGGAGGCAGCAGUGGGGAAUCUUAGACAAUGGGGGCAACCCUGAUCUAGCCAUGCCGCGUGAGUGAUGAAGGCCUUAGGGUUGUAAAGCUCUUUCAGCUGGGAAGAUAAUGACGGUACCAGCAGAAAAAGCCCCGGCUAACUCCGUG